rnacentral:rRNA from 1 species
GACGAACCGAGCGAACGUUGUUCGGAAUCACUGGGCUUAAAGGGCGCGUAGGCGGGCUGUCAAGUCUGGGGUGAAAUCCCACGGCUCAACCGUGGAACUGCCUUAGAUACUGACGGCCUCGAGGGAGAUAGGGGCGAGCGGAACUGUGAGUGGAGCGGUGAAAUGCGUUGAUAUUCACAGGAACUCCGGUGGCGAAGGCGGCUCGCUGGAUCUUUUCUGACGCUGAGGUGCGAAAGCGUGGGGAGCAAACAGG